UUGGGAUCGAUCCAAGAGGGAGGCUAACGUCUACAGCUUAUCAUUUCCAGUCAGUGGUUGUUAAUUUUCUUCAGAUCAUGACUAUGUGAUUUGUGGACUGAAGAGCUAGCCGCAAAGUUCGAACUUCCUGCAAUUACUGAACUGAACUGAACCAUGGUAACUGAAAGGUGAACUGAGAUGUUGGAGGACUGGGUUAUUUAACUAAACCAUGGUAACUGGAAAUCGUGCAUGUCAGAACCAUGCAAAGUGAGGCCUGUGUGUACAUGAUGCAGUUCAGCACUGGUAUCCAACGGAACCUAAACACAAUGGAGAUUUGAUAUCUACCACCAUCCAUUAAAACAGGCAUUAAUGACCCAGCCAUACCACUGCUAGACAUCGGCGAGAAAGCAGAGAAGUUGUCCACAAGAUGUGAACAAGAAUAUUCACAGCAACUGUAUCCAUAAUAACCAAAGCCUGAAGAAAAACCAAUCGUUCCUUAGUGGUUAAAUAAAUUAUGGUACAUACAUACAUACGCUGGGAUAUUAUACAGCAGUGGUUCUCAAAGUUUUUGGUCUCAGGACCCCUUUAUACUCUUAAAACUUAAUGAGGACACCAAAGAGUUUUUGAUCUAUUUGGGCAUUUCUUUCAAUAUUUGUCAUAUUAAAAACUAAGACUGAGGGAUUUUUAAAAUUUUUAUUAAUUCAUUUUAAAAAUAACAAUAAC
rnacentral:lncRNA from 1 species